AGAUAGGAAAGCUGUGAUAGGAACAAAGGAAAUUCUUUCAUCUGAGUGCUGCUUGGCAGGUUGGCUUUUUCCACAAAUUGGAAGAAAUAGAAUAAAGUGAAAAGAUAACCAAAGAGAAGGUGAAGAAAG